UUUCAAGCUUGCAGUGGUGCUGCAUGGGAUUGGACAAGUUCAAGCCUGCUGAUUGGCUAGAAUUUGAACCUGCUAAUUGGUUCAAAUCUGAGUCUGCUAAUUGGUCCAAAUUCCAACCUUCUGUGGCCAAGGCAAAUAACUCCUGGAGCUGCUGCAAGGUAUCUAGGACAGCUGCAGGGAGGCCAGGAAGAGAGCUCACAUCCCAGCACGCUAGCUUGGACCACCUUGGGCCCACAUCCGUGUCUGAGCAGUCACCGUGCCUGGCGGUAGAAUACAGAGUGGCCAGGGCUGGACACUGGUCCAUCACAGGCUGUGACAGCCCCAACUGCAUCUUGUGCUGACCAAGGAGCCCGGGUAAUAGGAAGCAAGAGGACCAGGGAGGCAGACUGUGAGCAUCCUAAGGGAGCUCUAGAGCAGGUGGUGCCCUGAAGGAGGGCCCAGCGAGGAUGGGGACAAGAUCCAGUAGACACAGGCAGGGCCACCCACUGCAGCACCAGUCCCCACACACAGAGUCCUGUCCCUAUUUAUCCUGCCAUAGUGGCAGAGAAGAGGCAAGAUGAGCCCUGAAAGGAACCUGGGGGGACAGAGAGGUGACCUGGCCUCUAGUCCCCAGCACUGAGCUGACCUGGGUAUAUCAUCACUUCACCACUCUGUGCCUCACUUUUUUUGUCUACAAAAUGGGAGUAGUUAGCCCUUUUCUGGACCUUGGGCUUCACUUCUGUCCAAUGGGAAGGCAGGGACCUUACUGGCAUCCACGAUUUCCUGGAGCAUCCAGACUAGCCUGGCAGGGAACCCUUCUAGAAUCCAUGUCAGCAGUUCCGCCUUGCGGAGGCCUCAGGAACCUGUCACCUCCCUGUUGGAAGAAUGCAAUUGGUUGUGCUAACCCUGCCGGUGGGGGCUGUGUUUGGGUGCCUGCCUCCCCGACAGGAAGGGUAUUCUCAGCUGGAAACUGCUAAUGCGAUGACACGGCAGCUUAUUAGUGUACCUGACAACAAGCUGUGCACCUAGCGCCACAAACAGGGGAGAGGAAAUGGGGGGUGUGGGGACAGGGGGACACCCCGAGGGGCUCCAGGGAAGCUUCCCUGAAGAGCAACGUCAGUAGCAGCCCUUGGGCCUCCCACCCCAAGACCACACACCCACAGGACUGCAUUCCCUGUGUCUCCUGUCUGUGCCUCCAGCCGCUGUAGCACAAC
rnacentral:lncRNA from 1 species